UUCCGGUGAGGCGACAGGGCGUCCCAUUCCUGACGAUCGUAUUUAUACCCUCCCCCUUCAAUAAUAGGUGCCCUCCACAGCUGUGAGUGUGACUUCUUUUGGAGUGACACUCGGUAGUGGAGGGGGAGUGUGUAGGGGGGUUUGGGAUUCAGACCCGGAGUUACGCGCGUGCACCGCAACUCUGAAAAGACAGCAUCAAUGGAACCCCGAUUCGACGAGUCACCAUGGAAACGGGGAAACGGGGAAGCGAAAGGCUGCGUUUUUGAACUGAAAGUUUUUAACGCGCUCAUAUGGCGAGUUUGAACACGUUUUUAGAAAGAAGUGCAACACCGCUGCAGCUGUAAAAGAGAGAGAGACGGCGUGGAGAACAGCCCGGAUCAAUGCCACAGACCUUGUAACUGUAAGUAGGCAACACUCCACAGAUUUCUCCAAAUGGUAGUUUAAGUUUACUGAAACAUGUCACUGAUCUAGGAUGAAGAGGAUGAAACUGUGUCUGCUGCCUUUACAGAGGGGGAUCCAGAAAGACAUACAGAGCUAUGUUACUGAUAGUUCUCUUCUCAUUCACAUUUUGGGUGGAAUAUAGAGUGUGACAUUUAGCCUACACUGAAGUAUUGCACAUUCUCAUCCUUUUUAACAGAGCAUGGCUGGACAGCAGCAGGAUGGUUCCUCAGCUUCCACUGCACAGACUGACACAGUGAGAUGGAUGUUCAGGAAACACCAGAGCUUCAUUCUGUGGAAUUUAUGUGCAACUGUAUAAUUGAAUGUCCUCUAUGUAUUCCCAGUUAUCAGUAAAACAGAUUUACAAACUGCAUUUGCUGAGAAAAAUCCAAAAAACAGAUUAGGAGGACAGAUCUGGAAAUUGAAAUAGUGGAGCACAAGUUAGAGGUGGUGAUGGUCACAGGUGAAUUAUGUUAACUACUGGAACAUGAACUGAACUGUUUAUUUGUAGGAAAUAAAGAAGAGCAAAUGAAA